AUAUCUUUCUGUACGGGAAGGAUGAGAAGCUUCGACUAAGGUUCGAUUCGAGCGCAGCGAGAAAGCGUUGCCGCAGGCAACGACCCGAAGGGCGAAGCGCGCAGCGCUGAGUCAUCCUUCCCCCACCACCA
rnacentral:sRNA from 12 species